rnacentral:misc_RNA from 1 species
GAUGAAGAACGUAGCGAAAUGCGAUACUUGGUGUGAAUUGCAGAAUCCCGUGAACCAUCGAGUCUUUGAACGCAAGUUGCGCCCGAAGCCAUCAGGUUGAGGGCUCGUCUGCCUGGGCGUCACAUAUCGUUGCCCAAUGCCUAUUGCAGUGCAAUAGGAAUUUCUAGGGCGAAUGAUGGCUUCCCGUGAGCGUUGUUGCCUCGCGGUUGGUUGAAAAUCGAGUCCUUGGUAGGGUGUGCCAUGGUAGAUGGUGGUCGAGUUAGAACGAUACCGAUCAUGUGCAUGCUCCCCAAAAUAUGGCCUCUAUGACCCACACGCGUCUUUUGACGCUCAUGACGAGACCUCAGGUCAGGCGGGGCUACCCGCUGAAUUUAAGCAUAUCAAUAAGCGGAGGA